rnacentral:rRNA from 1 species
CGGCGAACGGGUGAGUAACGCGUGGAUUAUCUGCCCUGAGGUGGGGGAUAACCCGGGGAAACUCGGGCUAAUACCGCAUAUGACCGUGAGGUCAAAGGGGGGUCGCAAGAUCUCUCGCCAUAGGAGGAGUCCGCGUCCGAUUAGCUAGCUGGUAGGGUAAUGGCCUACCAAGGCGACGAUCGGUAGCCGGCCUGAGAGGGUGAUCGGCCACACUGGAACUGAGACACGGUCCAG